rnacentral:tRNA from 1 species
GCCAGGAUGGUGGAAUUGGUAUACACGCAAGACUUAAAAUCUUGUGGCCUUAGGCCAUGCGGGUUCGAUCCCCGCUCCUGGUACAA